ensembl:lncRNA
UUUUUUUUUUUUUUUUUUUUUUUUUUUUUUUUUAAGGGCCAUACCAACACAUUUGGAAGUUUCCAGGUUAGAGGUCUAACCAGAGCUGCAGCUGCUGGCCUAUGCCACAGCCACAGCAACGCCAGAUCUAAGCCGCAUCUGCCACCUAUACUGCAGCUUGUGGAAACACUAGAUCCUUAACCCCACUGAGCCAGGGAUGAUACCCACAUCCUCAUAGAUAUUAGUAGGAUUCUAAACCUGCUAAUCAACAACAGGGACUCCUGUAUUGCUUUUUAUUAAACUAGCCUUGGAAGUCACUGCAUUCUGCUUGUUUGGGAUUCCUUACUAAAGCUAGCUCAUAUCUAAAGAACAGAGAAUUAGACUUUUGAUGGGAGAGUGUCAAGAUACUUGAUGAUUGUGAUUUACAUCAAUUACAGUGCCUAAUAAUAAUAGCCAAUUCUUAUCAAGCACUUAAAUAUAACAAGCACUCUUAUACUUUUUACUUAUAUUGAAUUAUUUGAUAUGACAUCUUGUAUUAUUAUACCCAUUUUAUGUGUGAGUAAAUCUGGGUACAGUAAGUUAAGUAUUUCACCUAAGAGGACACAGAUAGUAAGGGGUAGAAUUACUAUUGCACCUAGACAAUUUCCCUCCAGGGUCUAUGUUCUUAAAUCACUCCACUGUGUUGUCUGUUGCAGAGUUUGGUAUAUAGUCUGGACCAAUAUAUAUUUGUUGAGUGAAUGUUUUGUACUUUGCACUUCCCUCAAAUGCUAGUAGAGACAUUGCUUAAGUGAAUGAUUUCAUAUUCCUCUCUUUACCUGAUAUUGAUAGGUGGGUAAACUCCUGUACAGGUGAAAAAGGUUCAAUCAUGGAUGCCAAGGGAGUGGUGAAAUAACCUAAUCAGGGUGCCUUCCAUUUAGGAGAUGCCUUAUGUAUACAGUCUACUAAGGCUACUCAGGAGCCCGAGUGUCUUUUAGAUAGAUACAGUAACCUUCUCUCUCUCUCACAUACACACAGGCACACACAGUCACAUAUACAUAAUUACAUACAAAUCAUUGAAAAAGCGUGUAAUUGUAUGUAUUACAUUUUUUCUCUUUUUUCCAAAACUGGCUUUAUCACAAUAAUACUCACUUUAAAAGAACAUAUAAGAGAUAAUAUAUUCUCUAUGGAUAUUGCUUUUUCAGUGCUAUGUACAUGGUACAGUUAAUUUAGAAUCUAGAAAGAGCCACCUUGUGGUAAAAUUUAGCAUUUCACAGAUCUAUAUUUUGAAGAAAAAAUUAUAAGAAGCUUUAAAAAGGAAUCUACUGGAAAGCAAAAUGAAAGGUACUGAUAUUAUAUGCAAGUAACUUAAUAUGGUUUCUGAGAUAUAUAGUUUGAUUUUAACUUAGCAGAUGUUAUCCAAAGGUAUUUAUUGAGAAUUCAAAAAGCCUAGAUUAAUUCAUUAGUGUACUAUAUGCAACACUAAUGGAUUUAUAUUUAAAAUGCACAUUUCAAGGUUUCAGUUAUUUUCAGUACACUCAGUUUUGGCUCUGAUUUGGAGCUUAAAAAUGAAAUUUAAAAUAUAUAUCCAAUUGUAUUUUUUCUUAAUAUUUAAUUAUAAUACAGCUUAAAUUUUAUUAUCUGUUUCAGUAUAUUUAUAUGAUGUGAGUUCUAAUCAUGUUUCAGUAACCAAGAGUACUAAAUUUCCUUUUUGGUUGAUACCUUUGCAGUUUUUCCAAAAUUUCGUUCUUACACUCCAGCAAUUCACUGAAUUCUCCUUUCACUUAAUGCUCAUAUUUUCAUGUCUUUCAUAAAACCUUGAUCAGUUAUUAAGUGUGGUAGUAAAGAGUUUGCAACUCUCAAUGAGUACUCAUAAUGUAUACUGAAAUAUGAAUCACCACACCAUUGUAGGGCAUCCUUUCUCUUUCUCCUUCUCAUUGGAACUUUGAAAUUUGCUGCAUGCUAAGAGGUUAAUUCAGCAUCUGCCUAUCUGCCUUUCCGUUCUCCUGCCGCUUCUCAUUUCCUCUAUUCCUGUUCCCCAGAUUUUAUCUAACAAUUUGGUUCCUGUCUGGUAGUGGUGGCAUUGAGGUAGGUGGUGAUGGUCUAAAUAUUGGCAUGGAAACGUAGCAGGGAGAUCUGCAAUCUAAAUAUAAUAGUCUAGAGGGAGAGGAGGAGGUGAGUUGGAUUGAAAAGGCGAGAAAGGGAAAACACAGGGACAUGCUGCUUCUCCUCACUAAUAACCCCUGACCCUGGCUCCUGCUUUGCUAAUUUUCAAGUAUGUUUAUCCCUCUCAAACCUCCAAGGAUAUAUGGCUCUUUGGGGGGCUCUUUUUGCUUAUGUCUGUUCGCAUUUCUGGAUUGCCAGUUCUUCAACUCCAAAUCUGGGGUAUGUGAGGUUCAGUGCAAACAUAGGUAACUCACUACCCUGUGGUUCCUUGGUUCUCCCCAUCCCUAGCUGAUUUGCCUUCUCUCCACUUUUUAGAGUCAUCUUAUUUUGUUUUAUAUAUG